rnacentral:rRNA from 1 species
AACAAACGCUGGCGGCGUGCCUAAUACAUGCAAGUCGAACGGGGUAGCAAUACCUAGUGGCGCACGGGUGAGGAACGCGUGGAUAAUCUGCCUUAGAGUGGGGGAUAACUAGUCGAAAGAUUAGCUAAUACUGCAUAAGACCACAGGAGCUGCGGCUCUAGGGGUCAAAGGUUUUUCGCUCUAAGAUGAGUCCGCGUAAGAUUAGCUAGUUGGUGAGGUAACGGCUCACCAAGGCGACGAUCUUUAACUGGUCUGAGAGGAUGAUCAGUCACACUGGAACUGAGACACGGUCCAGACUCCUACGGGAGGCAGCAGUAGGGAAUAUUGCACAAUGGAGGAAACUCUGAUGCAGCGACGCCGCGUGAGUGAUGAAGGCCUUCGGGUCGUAAAGCUCUGUCGCAGGGGAAUAACACAAUGAAUGUACCCUGUAAGAAAGGAUCGGCUAACUUCGUGCCAGCCGCCGCUGUAAAAC